rnacentral:rRNA from 1 species
CGGUUGAUCCUGCCGGACCCUACUGCUAUCGGGGUGGGACUAAGACAUGCGAGUUAAGCGUCUCUAAGCUAUGGUAGAGACGCAGCGUACGGCUCAGUAACACGUGGCUAACCUACCCUUAGGACGGGGACAACCCCGGGAAACUGGGGCUAAUACCCGAUAGGCGAGGAGGCCUGGAAUGGUUCCUAGUCGAAAAGGCGUUGAAACCAUGCUUUUCGACGUCGCCUAAGGAUGGGGCCGCGCCCGAUCAGGUUGUUGGUGGGGUAACGGCUCACCAAGCCUAUAACCGGUACGGGCCGUGAGAGCGGGAGCCCGGAGAUGGGCACUGAGACAAGGGCCCAGGCCCUACGGGGCGCAGCAGUCGCGAAAACUCCGCAAUGCGCGAAAGCGUGACGGGGCUACCCCGAGUGCCGUCCGCUGAGGAUGGCUUUUCCCCGGUGUAAUGAGCCGGGGGAAUAAGGAGAGGGCAAGUCUGGUGUCAGCCGCCGCGGUAAUACCAGCUCUCCGAGUGGUAGGGAUGAUUAUUGGGCUUAAAGCGUCCGUAGCCGGCUUAGCAAGUCUCCUGUUAAAUUCAGCGACCUAAUCGUUGAGCCGCGGGAGAUACUACUAGGCUAGGAGGCGGGAGAGGCCGACGGUAUUCUCGGGGUAGGGGUGAAAUCCUAUAAUCCCGGGAGGACCACCAGUGGCGAAGGCUGUCGGCUAGAACGCGCUCGACGGUGAGGGACGAAAGCUGGGGGAGCGAACCGGAUUAGAUACCCGGGUAGUCCCAGCUGUAAACGAUGCGGGCUAGGUGUUGGGGUGGCUACGAGCCACUUCAGUGCCGCAGGGAAGCCAUUAAGCCCGCCGCCUGGGGAGUACGGCCGCAAGGCUGAAACUUAAAGGAAUUGGCGGGGGAGCAC